rnacentral:rRNA from 1 species
AGCAGCCGCGGUAAUUCCAGCUCCAAUAGCGUAUAUUAAAGUUGUUGCAGUUAAAAAGCUCGUAGUUGAAUUUCGGGAUUGACACAUCGGUCGUGCCUUAAGGGGUAUGAACUGGUGUAGUCAAUUUCUCACCUUCUGGAGAACCGCGAUGCCCUUAAUUGGGUGUCGCGGGGAACCAGGACCUUUACUUUGAAAAAAUUAGAGUGUUUAAAGCAGGCAUUUUGCUUGAAUACAUUAGCAUGGAAUAAUAAAAUAGGACGGCAUGAUUCUAUUUUGUUGGUUUCUAGGAUCACCGUAAUGAUUAAUAGGGAUAGUUGGGGGCAUUAGUAUUCAAUUGUCAGAGGUGAAAUUCUUGGAUUUAUUGAAGACUAACUACUGCGAAAGCAUUUGCCAAGGAUGUUUUCAUUAAUCAAGAACGAAAGUUAGGGGAUCGGAAGACGAUCAGAUACCGUCGUAGUCUUAACCAUAAACUAUGCCGACUAGGAAUCAGACGAUGUUAA